GACGAACGCUGGCGGCGUGCCUAAUACAUGCAAGUAGAACGCUGAAGGAGGAGCUUGCUUCUCCGGAUGAGUUGCGAACGGGUGAGUAACGCGUAGGUAACCUGCCUGGUAGCGGGGGAUAACUAUUGGAAACGAUAGCUAAUACCGCAUAAGAGUAGAUGUCGCAUGACAUUUGCUUAAAAGGUGCAACUGCACCACUACCAGAUGGACCUGCGUUGUAUUAGCUAGUUGGUGAGGUAACGGCUCACCAAGGCAACGAUACAUAGCCGACCUGAGAGGGUGAUCGGCCACACUGGGACUGAGACACGGCCCAGACUCCUACGGGAGGCAGCAGUAGGGAAUCUUCGGCAAUGGACGGAAGUCUGACCGAGCAACGCCGCGGGAGUGAAGAAGGUUUUCGGAUCGUAAAGCUCGGUUGUAAGAGAAGAACGAGUGUGAGAGUGGAAAGUUCACACUGUGACGGUAUCUUACCAGAAAGGGACGGCUAACUACGUG
rnacentral:rRNA from 1 species